CUCUCAGCUGUUUAUUAGAAGCUUUCUUCCUUCUUUCUCCCCCGGAAGAGAAGUGCGAGCUUACCAGGUUUUCAGAGGAAUAGAAAAACCUCUCGAGACAUUCAGGAUGAAAUAGUCACAGUUUAGUUUGGGAGGGAAGGAAGCAGAUCACAGCCUUGAAAUUCGAGUCCCCCCUCUGACAUACACCAGCUGCAGGAUUCCGUACAAGUCAUUUACCCUCUCUCUAAGAUGAAAAAUGACGGUUGAGGGGCUGAUCUACAUCAGCAGAGGGAGUUUCCACACCUGGACUUCUCUAUACAGAUGAAGUCAGAGGUCCGGACUAAAAACCAAGGCGUUGAAUUUCUGACUGUGCUGCGAUCUCUUCUAAGUGGCUCUAUGAACCUGACACUGGUACCAGGCUACCUCGGUUAUUUAGAGACAUGGACCAGCAUUAUUAUUUAUAGUAUAUGGACCUUUCAAGUCACCCUUGGAAAUGUGGCUACAUUCAAGGAGAGGCUUAACUGGAAUGUUGACGGGGGCAUGGUAUCACGGCAAGAAGGUCAAGAUCUACACAGGAGGAACUGGGUUCAAAUCAGCGAUGGGAUGUUGGGUAAGAAUUUCCCAUCUGCACCAGCAGAGAAGGUUUAUAUUUGGGGAGUUCCUCACACUGAUACCCCCGCCCCCAUUAUGGUUAUAUAACCAACAAUGAACAUUAGUCUGAGAGUU